UCGCCGCCCGUGACUCGGCAAAAAGUCCAUUGAACCUUAUCAUUUAGAGGAAGGAGAAGUCGUAACAAGGUUUCCGUAGGUGAACCUGCGGAAGGAUCAUUG
rnacentral:rRNA from 2 species